UACGUAGGUGGCAAGCGUUGUCCGGAAUUAUUGGGCGUAAAGCGCGCGCAGGCGGUCCUUUAAGUCUGAUGUGAAAGCCCACGGCUCAACCGUGGAGGGUCAUUGGAAACUGGGGGACUUGAGUGCAGGAGAGAAGAGUGGAAUUCCACGUGUAGCGGUGAAAUGCGUAGAGAUGUGGAGGAACACCCGUAGCGAAGGCGGCACUCUGGGCCGAUUCUGACACUGAGGAGCGAAAGCGUGGGGAGCGAACAGG
rnacentral:rRNA from 1 species